AGUUUUUUAUUCAGCACUCCACUGUAAUAUAAUGCACAAAGGAGUCACUGGCAAAAUUCCUUUGAUGUGUAUUGUAUAUGGGCUCAUCUUUGGAUACCACUUCAAGCACUAUCCAUAACAAUCUUACAGAAUUCCAAAAUGACCCUCCCGCUACCAAUUCUUAUUCUCCCUGGAACUUAACCAACGCUAGCUUAUUUGGAUUGACUCGGAUUCCAUAUUUUCAAAAC
rnacentral:lncRNA from 1 species